rnacentral:tRNA from 1 species
CGGGGUGUAGCGCAGCCUGGUAGCGCGCCGCUUUUGGGGAGCGGAAGCCGAGGGUUCGAAUCCCUCCACCCCGACCA